AACGGGUGAGUAACACGUGGGUGAUCUGCCCUGCACUCUGGGAUAAGCCUGGGAAACUGGGUCUAAUACCGGAUAGGACCACACACUUCAUGGUGAGUGGUGCAAAGCUUUUGCGGUGUGGGAUAAGCCCGCGGCCUAUCAGCUUGUUGGUGGGGUAAUGGCCCACCAAGGCGACGACGGGUAGCCGGCCUGAGAGGGUGACCGGCCACACUGGGACUGAGAUACGGCCCAGACUCCUACGGGAGGCAGCAGUGGGGAAUAUUGCACAAUGGGCGCAAGCCUGAUGCAGCGACGCCGCGUGAGGGAUGACGGCCUUCGGGUUGUAAACCUCUUUCAGUAGGGACGAAGCGAAAGUGACGGUACCUACAGAAGAAGGACCGGCCAACUACGUGCCAGCAGCCGCGGUAAUACGUAGGGUCCGAGCGUUGUCCGGAAUUACUGGGCGUAAAGAGCUCGUAGGUGGUUUGUCGCGUUGUUCGUGAAAACUCACAGCUUAACUGUGGGCGUGCGGGCGAUACGGGCAGACUAGAGUACUGCAGGGGAGACUGGAAUUCCUGGUGUAGCGGUGGAAUGCGCAGAUAUCAGGAGGAACACCGGUGGCGAAGGCGGGUCUCUGGGCAGUAACUGACGCUGAGGAGCGAAAGCGUGGGUAGCGAACAGGAUUAGAUACCCUGGUAGUCCACGCCGUANACGGUGGGUACUAGGUGUGGGUUUCCUUCCUUGGGAUCCGUGCCGUAGCUAACGCAUUAAGUACCCCGCCUGGGGAGUACGGUCGCAAGACUAANACUCAAAGGAAUUGACGGGGGCCCGCACAAGC
rnacentral:rRNA from 1 species